AUGGUCUUCCCCAAUUUGCUCCACAUUGUUGAUUUCAGAGUGAAAGACCUGUGGGGCAAAUGUGAAAGAGGCAGUGAUGAUGUGCAAAUUCCCAAUACGGCGUAGGGAAGGGGUCUUAUCAGUGGCCCAGUGGCCAGGCUACAUAGGGGUCGAGGUGGGCCAGUGGCCAGGCUGCAUAGGGGUCAAGGUGGCCCAGUGGCCAGGCUACAUAGGGGUCAAGGUGGGCCAGUGGCCAGGCUGCAUAGGGGUCAAGGUGGGCCAGUGGCCAGGCUGCAUAGGGGUCAAGGCUACAUAGGGGUCAAGGUGGGCCAGUGGCCAGGCUACAUAGGGGUCAAGGUGGGCCAGUGGCCAGGCUGCAUAGGGGUCAAGGUGGGCCAGUGACCAGGCUACAUAGGGGUCAAGGUGGGCCAGUGGGGAAGGGUCCAAGGGGGCUACAUAGGGGUCAAGGUGGGCCAGUGGGGAAGGGUCAAGGUGGGC